rnacentral:snRNA from 1 species
AUCAAUAAAACUUUUCCAAAAGAAAAAUCUGUUCUUAUCAGUUUAAUAUCUGAUACGUCCCCCAUCGGGGGACUACAUAUUAAAUGGAUUUUUCGAACAGGGAGUCGGAAAUGGGGCUUGCUCCGUCCGCUCCACGUAUCGACCCGGUAUUGCAGUACCUCCGGGAACGGUGCAACACUU